AAAAAAGAUUAGAACAAGGAAGCAGAUUGUGGCCUAAUUUAAUUAAUCUUGCCUCCCGUUGUCUACAUGUAGAGAUCUUCUUAAGACUGACCGAAAUUGGAAAGCCUUGAGGAAAUCCAAGCACCUGAGGAAUCUACAUGAGAAGAUACCUCAUCCAGUUAGAAACUUGUUAAAAAGGAGUGAGGGAAAGGCCUUUUUAACUGUGGCAGUGCAGCCCAGGUAGGAAUGCACCUGGCACUGGAUGCAGACAGCAGCUGUCUCAGCAGCAUCCAUAAUCUGUACUGGUGGCUUCCUGGCUGUACCUGUGUGCCCUGAAUGCAAAAAGCAUCUGUUUCACAUUUAUUCAUUUACUCAGAUGGCAUUAUCUACAUCACUUGCUACCUUUGGACACAAGACUCUCAUUUAUAAUUCAUGGUACACAGAUGCUUACAGAGAGUAGAAGCUUUGGCUACAUUACCUGUCACUCUUAGUAUAUUUUGUAUUCAUGGUGGGUAAAUGUACAAGUAUGAAGCUGCCAUAUUGUGUAUGACUAUCUAUAAUGCAUUAGCAAACAGUUGUUUGAUUAUUUACACUGUCACUCUUUAUAGUUGGAGUGAUGUUAGAAUGGGAAAUGAAACAAACUGUGGGUUCACUCUCCCUAAUUUUCUUCUGCUCUUUCUCUUUUUGUGCAGAGUUCAUCAGUAAAACUUAGGUAACUUCCUAAGCUUUUGGAAAAUGAGGGUGGCUUUGUCUCAUUUUGUUUCUUGUGCUCUUCCCUUGAUAUGAUCAUCAUUCAGGACUUGGUCAGAUAUUCACUAAAUUCACUAAAAUUCACUAGUGCAGCUGGCUUCAGAAGAUGAUUCCUAUUCUUUGCUUUGCUUUCUUUGCUCAUAAAUCCAGCCUGCUGAAAAUAUUAAAAAGAGAAAAAUAGGCAGGAAUGAAGCAUAUCAGAAAGAGGGAGUGAAUGCAACUGGGGAAACAUUCACUCAAUAUUACAUAUUAAGUAAUUUGCUCUUUAGUACUGAAGGAAUAUAUAGAGAAAAUAUCUUAACAGUACUUACCAAGAGCCAUCUGAAUCCAUCAAAUGCUGUUAAAAACAACCAUUUUGGAGCAAGGAGAACAUUCUGUAUGCCAUGUAUUGUUUUUAAAAGCUAUUUUUAGUGUGGUAAAUAUUAAAGGAUGUCAUUGUCCCUUGCAUGAGCUCUCACUCAUUUUUUAGGAAGCUUUGCCAGAGAUGCUUGACUUAAGAACCCAUUAAAAUGAAAAUAUACUCAGGAACCUUGCAGGAAUAGCGCUUGAAGGCAUGGGCACCAAGCAUGCUUGGCAGCCUGGAAAGCUUACAGAGCUCACAGAAAAGGAAUGCCAUCACAUUAAAGAAUUAGCAUAGCCCCAGGCACCAGGUUUUUUUACGU